UACGUAGGUGGCAAGCGUUGUCCGGAUUUACUGGGCGUAAAGAGCGCGCAGGCGGUCGUUUAAGUCGAAUGUGAAAGCCCCCGGCUCAACUGGGGAGGGUCAUUCGAUACUGAUCGACUUGAAGGCAGGAGAGAGAAGUGGAAUUCCCGGUGUAGUGGUGAAAUGCGUAGAUAUCUGGAGGAACACCGGUGGCGAAGGCGGUUCUCUGGGCAUGAUCUGACGCUGAGGAGCGAAAGGCGUGGGGAGCGAACAGG
rnacentral:rRNA from 1 species